rnacentral:rRNA from 1 species
UACGUAGGUGGCAAGCGUUGUCCGGAUUUACUGGGCGUAAAGAGCGCGCAGGCGGUCGUUCAAGUCGCGUGUGAAAGCCCCCGGCUCAACUGGGGAGGGUCACGCGAUACUGAUCGACUCGAAGGCAGGAGAGGGUAGUGGAAUUCCCGGUGUAGUGGUGAAAUGCGUAGAUAUCGGGAGGAACACCAGUGGCGAAGGCGACUCUCUGGACCAGCACUGACACUGAGGCACGAAAGCGUGGGGAGCAAACAGG